GGAGGGUCGGAAUCAGGUAUGACUUGUGUUUGUUCUGGGACUGGUCGGUCAAUAACCUUUCCACUUCGCAAAGUGAUUAUACUCUUCGCUUGUUCUUUAUGCAAAGUUGAAGAUGAUGCAUUGCUACCGCCAUAGACUUGAGGAUUAGGUUGUGGUUGAGCUGGUAGCUUACCUUUCUCUUGAGCACUUAAAGCAGUGGUCAGCGUUGUCAGUUGAUUUCUUAAUUCAUCAUUGAUUUUAGCUUGACCUUGCAUGAAAGAUUGCAAAGUUUCUUCGAGACUGGGUUUUUGAGGGGAUGUGUGUGCAUAAUGAGGUUGCGGAGGUGGAGGAGUUGGGUUAUAUACUUGUUCAGGUUGGUCAUUCCUCCACCUGAAAUUUGGAUGGUUCUUCCAUCCAGGGUUGUAAGUACCCGAAAAAGGAUUAUUAAAAGAUUUUUAAUAGGUAUUCAUAACAUUGGCCUGAUCGUGCAAGACUUC
rnacentral:lncRNA from 1 species